CGCGCAUACGAGCCGUCCAGCGCCAUCAGCUCAUCGUGCGUGCCCUUCUCAAGCACCUGGCCGCGGUACACCACAGCAAUGGUGUUGGCGUGACGGAUGGUGGACAGGCGGUGCGCAAUGACGAUGGAGGUGCGCCCCAGCAUGAUCCGGUCCAGCGCCGCCUGCACCACCGCCUCGCUGCGGGCGUCCAGCGCAGACGUCGCCUCGUCCAGCAACAUAACCUGGUGCGGUAAGAUGUGGGGUCCAAACGAUUGAGCAAAUGUACCGAAUACCGCAAACCACGGCCAUCCACCACUAGUUAUGGUGACAGCGGCCGGUCAGGGCUUUGC
rnacentral:lncRNA from 1 species